AAUUCUCAACCUUGCAAGCUUUUUUGCUAGUGAGGCUUGGAUGUGAGGGCUUUUGCUGGCUUCCUUCAUUGGAUGGUCUGCUCCCUUUAAAUUCAUUAGUGGAUUCCUUUGUGGAUGGUCACUUGGUGUGAUAAUUAUCUACGCCGCCUGACUCUGACGCAAGACUUGUGGGGACCUGCUUAUAACCGUCUCUUUCAAGAGACAAUCUACAUUGACU
rnacentral:misc_RNA from 1 species